rnacentral:rRNA from 1 species
ACUGAACGCUGGCGGAAUGCUUUACACAUGCAAGUCGAACGGCAGCACGGACUUCGGUCUGGUGGCGAGUGGCGAACGGGUGAGUAAUGUAUCGGAACGUGCCCAGUCGUGGGGGAUAACGUAGUGAAAUUUACGCUAAUACCGCAUACGAUCUAUGGAUGAAAGCGGGGGAUCGCAAGACCUCGCGCGAUUGGAGCGGCCGAUAUCAGAUUAGGUAGUUGGUGGGGUAAAGGCCCACCAAGCCAACGAUCUGUAGCUGGUCUGAGAGGACGACCAGCCACACUGGAACUGAGACACGGUCCAGACUCCUACGGGAGGCAGCAGUGGGGAAUUUUGGACAAUGGGCGAAAGCCUGAUCCAGCCAUUCCGCGUGCAGGAUGAAGGCCCUCGGGUUGUAAACUGCUUUUGUACAGAACGAAAAGGUUUCUACUAAUACUAGGAGCUCAUGACGGUACUGUAAGAAUAAGCACCGGCUAACUACGUGCCAGCCGCCGCGGUAA